AGUGUUCAGUCCUUUAACACACACUGACACACAGCACAAUGAUGAUGUCACUCAUUCUACUGCUGGGAACCCUGGGACUCCUCACUCAGGCCUGGAGAUCCUGGAAAAUCUGCUGAGGAAAUACUGUGUUAAACUGUCCAGACAGCAACUGGUGAUGAUGGGACAGAUGGUGACAAUCUAGAAUUACUGUUGAAGUGUAGCUGAGUACAUCAUCCUGGGAAUUUCACUCCAGGGAAAAAGUCACAAUAUUUACCAUUUACACAAACUAAAGUUUUGCUAUGCUAACACAAAUAAUGUAUUAUUAGUUUCAUAUGAUUAAUAUAUUACUGACGUUGAAAUAAAUAAAUGAAUUUUAUUUGAUCUGCAUAAAUACCUGCAUACAUAUAUUACAAAUAAUACUUUUAUUACACAUUUUUUAAGCAGCAUUAAUACAAUUAUUAUGUGAGAAUGUGAGAAGAUUUUGUGUGUGUGUGUGUGUGUGUGUGCAUGUGUGUGUGUGAGGAGAGUAAUGAUAAUGGUAAUUAAAAGGACACAUAUCACAGUCUGAAUACCUGCGGCAGCUCAACCACACAAACCACAGAGAAGGAGGAAGGAGGACGAGAACACCAGUAGACAGGAAGUCCUUCCUCCUAAAGAGUCCCCAUAUCAGGAGGUCCUUCCUCCUAAAGUCCCCACUUCAGGAGGUCCUUUCUAAUAAAGAGUCCCCACAUCUACCACACAUCUGGAGUGCUGUCUGCUCAUGUGCUUCCACACAUCCACUGAUAUAAAUCACCAUUACAGAACAGAGAGUGAAGGGCUGCUUCUGAACUGUACUGGAUACACCUGCACCGCCACACUGAGGAACACAAGAUUAUCACAACAUUUACCUUUACAUUUAGCUCAUUAAGAUGUCAAAGUGGGGACAGUUGCUCACAUGAUGUUGACCUGCAGGUGAAGAGCAUGAGACAGUAGUUACGUCCUGUGUCCCCCUGUGUCAUAUGUAUGUGUGUGUGGAGCUCUGUUCUCUCCAGUUAGUUUCCCCAGACCCAGUCCAGAGUUCCUCUACAGAUCUUCAUACUCACUGUCCAGUCCUGAAACAAGGCCCUGCCCAGAGGAGGGAUAUAAGGAAGUGUAUUGGAGGAAGAAGAAAGAGAAAGAUGAUAUUUUGGACACUUGUUUGUUCUAGUGACAAUUUUGAUAUUUGAUUCAGUGCUUGGCCUCUUUUCCACUUACUCUGAUUCUGAGCUUGUUUGAUCCCUCUAACUUGGCCACUGUUGUAAAUUUGUAUAUAGUAUGUAUGUAUUUGUGUGUGCUCUGGAAAGUAGGGAAGGCCUGCCCUUAUGUUUGGGCCCUGGGUUAUUUUCUCUGUGUUAUCACUUAGGGAGUUAAUGUAGUCUUAUCUUAGUAUAGGAUAUUAUCAGAGGAUGGUUGUGAUCCAUCAGCCUGUGGGUUAUGGUCCCAGCACACUUCCACUGCACCACUCUGCUCUCCUGCUAAUAGAGAAAUAAUAAAAUACCUACAAACUCAC